rnacentral:rRNA from 1 species
UGCAUAUCAAUAAGCGGAGGAAAAGAAACCAACAGGGAUUGCCUCAGUAACGGCGAGUGAAGCGGCAAAAGCUCAAAUUUGAAAUCCUUCGGGAGUUGUAAUUUGUAGGUUGGGAGACCCCGCGGCUAGUGGCACCAAGUCCCUUGGAACAGGGCGCCUUAGAGGGUGAGAGCCCCGUAGGUACCACAACACCGUCUUGUGUCUCCUCUCCAAAGAGUCGAGUUGUUUGGGAAUGCAGCUCAAAGUGGGUGGUAAAUUCCAUCUAAAGCUAAAUACCGGCGAGAGACCGAUAGCGAACAAGUACAGUGAUGGAAAGAUGAAAAGCACUUUGAAAAGAGAGUGAAACAGUACGUGAAAUUGUUGAAAGGGAAGGGCUUGCAAGCAGACACGGCCUUCGUGCCGGGCCAGCAUCGGUUGCUAGGGGUGGAUAAGGAACAAGGAAUGUAGCUCCUCGGAGUAUUAUAGCCUUGCGCGAUACACCCACUGGCGACCGAGGCCUGCGGUAUUCUUUACCUAGGAUGCUGGCGUAAUGGUUGCAAGCCGCCCGUCUUG